GUUCGCUUAGGCAGGCAGCACACAUACUAAAAUUGGAAUGAUACAGGGAAGACUAGCAUGGCCCUCCACAAGCAUGACAAGCAAAUUCGUGAAGUGUUCCAUAUUUUU